rnacentral:rRNA from 1 species
UACGGAGGGUGCAAGCGUUACUCGGAAUCACUGGGCGUAAAGGGUGCGUAGGCUGACUUUUAAGUCAGGCGUGAAAUCCAAUGGCUUAACCAUUGAACUGCGCUUGAAACUGGGAGUCUAGAGUUCAGAAGGGGCAGAUGGAAUUAGUGGUGUAGGGGUAAAAUCCGUAGAUAUCACUAGGAAUAUCAAAAGCGAAGGCGAUCUGCUGGGAUGAUACUGACGCUGAGGCACGAAAGCGUGGGGAGCAAACAGGAUUAGAUACCCUGGUAGUCCACGCCCUAAACGAUGAAUGCUAGUCGUCGGGGUACUCGUUACUUCGGUGAUGCACUUAACAGAUUAAGCAUUCCGCCUGGGGAGUACGGUCGCAAGAUUAAA